rnacentral:rRNA from 1 species
UACAGAGGUGGCAAGCGUUGUUCGGAAUUACUGGGCGUAAAGGGCGCGUAGGCGGUUCGUCAAGUCCUGUGUGAAAUCCCCCGGCUCAACUGGGGAACUGCACAGGAAACUAGCGGGCUUGAGUUCGGGAGAGGGAAGCGGAAUUCCGGGUGUAGCGGUGAAAUGCGUAGAUAUCCGGAGGAACACCGGUGGCGAAGGCGGCUUCCUGGACCGACACUGACGCUGAUGCGCGAAAGCCAGGGGAGCGAACGGG